UGGUGGAGCGAUUUGUCUGGUUAAUUCCGAUAACGAACGAGACUCUGGCCUAUUAAAUAGUUCGCCGAUUCCGAUCUGCGGCGUUAACUUCUUAGAGGGACAAGUGGCUUUUAGCCACGCGAGAUUGAGCAAUAACA
rnacentral:rRNA from 1 species